rnacentral:rRNA from 1 species
UACAGAGGUGGCAAGCGUUGUUCGGAAUUACUGGGCGUAAAGGGCGCGUAGGCGGCCUACUAAGUCAGACGUGAAAUCCCCGGCUUAACCUGGGAACUGCGUCUGAUACUGGAAGGCUUGAGGAUGGGAGAGGGAUGUAGAAUUCCAGGUGUAGCGGUGAAAUGCGUAGAUAUCUGGAGGAAUACCGGUGGCGAAGGCGGCAUCCUGGACCAUUACUGACGCUGAGGCGCGAAAGCUAGGGGAGCAAACGGG